GACGAACGCUGGCGGCGUGCUUAACACAUGCAAGUCGAGCGGUAAGGCCCUUUCGGGGGUACGACGAGCGGCGAACGGGUGAGUAACACGUGGGUGACCUGCCCUCAGCUCUGGGAUAAGCCUGGGAAACCGGGUCUAAUACUGGAUAUGACUCCAUGACGCAUGUUGUGGGGUGGAAAGCCUUGUGCGGCUGAGGAUGGGCCCGCGGCCUAUCAGCUUGUUGGUGGGGUGAGGCCUACCAAGGCGACGACGGGUAGCCGGCCUGAGAGGGCGACCGGCCACACUGGGACUGAGACACGGCCCAGACUCCUACGGGAGGCAGCAGUGGGGAAUCUUGCGCAAUGGGCGAAAGCCUGACGCAGCGACGCCGCGUGAGGGAUGAC
rnacentral:rRNA from 1 species